UAGCCUACGGACGCAGCAGUGAGGAAUAUUGGUCAAUGGGCGAGAGCCUGAACCAGCCAAGUCGCGUGAGGGAGUACUGCCCUAUGGGUUGUAAACCUCUUUUGUCGGGGAGCAAAAGCCGGACGUGUCCGGCUGUGAGAGUACCCGAAGAAAAAGCAUCGGCUAACUCCGUGCCAGCAGCCGCGGUAAUACGGAGGAUGCGAGCGUUAUCCGGAUUUAUUGGGUUUAAAGGGUGCGCAGGCGGAAGAUCAAGUCAGCGGUAAAAUUGAGAGGCUCAACCUCUUCGAGCCGUUGAAACUGGUUUU
rnacentral:rRNA from 1 species